rnacentral:lncRNA from 1 species
UAAUCGUCUUGGUGAUCUCAGAGCUUCUGAUUGUAGGGCUUGCAUGCUGAGUUUUUUGGUUGCAUGCUGAUUAAUCUAUGUGAAAUGUAUUGCAUUUCAUGAUGAACUAGGAUUCAGGGGUUGUAAAGAUUUGUUCCCCCCUACAGUUAACUUUAUAAAAAAAAACAAGAUUUGUUCCCCCUGAAUUUUCAGGAAAUAAGUUGAUCUUGCUGCAAAAACAAAUAUAAGAAAAUCAUACAGCUUAAAUUCCUUGCUGCAAUUUAUAUGUUUGGAUCUUCUAAUACGGUGAAUCUUCAUUUUUAUUUCUCUAUUUUGGAUAUAAAUUUUACCACCCGUGUUUUUAGUUAUGCCACUCAAUUUAUGGUGGAGAAUGUGCCCCCGAGUUGUUUGAUUUUUGCCGCUCAGUUUAAAUUCCUUGCUGCAAUUUAUGGGUAGUUUCUUAGGAUCCAAAUAAGGAUUCUCAUUCCUUUUUCCUUUAGUCUUUUGUUUUUGAGAUGUUUUAUGUAUAAUUUUCUCUGUUAUGCCCAAUAAAGAAACUUCAUUGACAUGUUUUGAUUGGAUGAAUGAAGUUCCUUCAUUUAGUGUGGUUGGGAAAUACUAGUAUCUCUUGGGCCUCUACUUGUUUUGGUUUGGUUUGAAAGUGUAAACUGAUAUACUACCAUGUGUAUGCUUCCAUUCAAAUAAUUUGAAAAAGGUAUCAUUUUUAUGUGUAUUCUUCUAGGGGCUAAACCCUUUUAUUUAAGUGUGCAAGCUGCAAAUAGUGAACUGUGGGGUGGAUUAUGAAGUAUGGUUUUGAAGUAACUCUGGGUAUCCCUUCUGUAACUGAAUAGGGGCUAUUAGGAGUGUUAAGGCUAUGCAUUUGGUAUCUCAAUUAGAAUUGCAAGAUCACAAGUUAUGAAGAAAUGGCGUAUUCCUUUAAUUCAUAGGUCUAUUUAUGACAUUUUUGGGUUUAUUACUUUUAUUUUAGGCUGUGACAUACCUUUUUAAAACUAUAGUGCACCUGAUACAAUAGGGAUUUGCACCUCCUUCUGUUGAAGCAUUUGCAUGAUUUAUGCUUCCAAUAAUGUCUAAAUUCUAAAACAUGAGUCCGAUAAUUUUGAAAGCAUUUGUGAUGUAUUGGUGUGAUUGCAACUUCGAUUUAUGUCUUCCACUCUUAAAUUACAUAAAUAUAAGAACAAAUUUCAAUCUCAAUGGUACAUUUUAUAAGAAAUGCAUUAGAUGGGUUGCAACAAGAAAAUCUUAUUCAAAAUAUGCAUUUUACACAUACAAUCAAUAAAAUAUAUAAUAAACAGUUAAGACAUGCAAUUUCUAUCUUUCCCAAUACCUAACAUGUGAAAACACCAGCACCAUAGUUUAUCAAAAAGGCUUCCCAGCAUUCAGGCUACCAAUUUUCACUAUCUUCCUAGAUUCUUGGAAAGUUAGCAACUGGGAUUUUCCGGGGAAACUGCAUAGAAAGUUAUCAUUAUCAAACACAGCCCAAAUAAAAGGGGAAUACCAAAUAGGGUGAUUUGCAUCACCGUCCCAACAGGUAAGACCUUUUUCUUUAUUUUAAAACCCUAACCGUGCUAUUACUUUUCAUUUUUUUUAUAUUGACAUGUUGCUGGUAAGAUUAAGUCAAAAUUAAGUAUGUGAAAUAGGAUUGGAAUAGAUUGUGCUAUUUCUCCUUGUUGAAUCUUUUCAUUUUCUGAUGGGCAUACAUUCUUUCUUAUGUUUAGGCUGUUUUUCUUUUAUUAUGCAGUUGGUUUUCCUCUUUUUCAUAUUCAUUAGAUAAUGACUAUAGAAAUAUAUUUAUUGUGUUUGUAAGUUUAUUGGAGAAUUUUAUUUCUAAAUAUAAAUAAUCAAGCUGCAAUCGCUAAAGAAAGAAGAUUGCAAUUUCAACCUUGCCUUGAAUCUUGAUGGUUAAGGCGUGAAAGCCUAGCCAAACCUAGCUAAAAAAAUAGCACGUAUAAAUUGAUAAAUAAGCAAAUAAAUUUAUUAGACUGCAACUUAGACAACAGGGUCCUUUUAACGUUGCUGUCUCUCAUUAACCUUGGGUAUAGCCUAACAUUAAACUCCCUUCAAAAUUUUUUGUGUGUGGUACUUGAGAUUUCUAGUUCACCCAUGAAAGGCAGGUAGUCGCAUCCAUGAACGGUGAGUCAGGGGUUUUCUAAUUCUGAUUUAUCUUAAUCAAAAUUCAAUAUGUGAAAUAGGAGUAGAAGAAAAUUUGUUUGAUUCUUUUGACAUGGAUUUUGUUUCACUUGAAUGGCACGUGAUUGACUUAGAAAUUUCCAUACCCUUUAAAAUGGGGUAGUGCAACUUCUUCUCCAUAGGGUCAAACUUGAAAUCCCUUUUAUCCCCAAGUUGGGUGGGAAGCAGGCUUGUGUGGGAAACUAACGUUUUAAUCCUUCCCACUCUCACUUCUCCAUCUCCGAACUCAUCGACCAUCGUGCUUCUCUCUCCCAGCUCCUCACCUUCUUUCGCAGCCCACCUCUCCCCAAACCCUGCAACUUUCUCUCAAAACCUCUCCACUCUCUCUCUUCCCUCUCCCAUUCUCGCUGCAGAGCAUUCUCUGUCCGCCCCAUUUCCUCAUCUCUACAUUGCAGGGCCUCUAUCUAUCUUCAAGGACCUACCCACAAUGAACCAGUUUAGUCUAUCU